rnacentral:rRNA from 1 species
GACGAACGCUGGCGGCGUGCCUAAUACAUGCAAGUCGAACGCACUCUCGUUUAGAUUGAAGGAGCUUGCUCCUGAUUGAUAAACAUUUGAGUGAGUGGCGGACGGGUGAGUAACACGUGGGUAACCUGCCCUAAAGUGGGGGAUAACAUUUGGAACAGAUGCUAAUACCGCAUAAAACCUAACACCGCAUGGUGUAGGGUUGAAAGAUGGUUUCGGCUAUCACUUUAGGAUGGACCCGCGGUGCAUUAGUUAGUUGGUGAGGUAAAGGCUCACCAAGACCGUGAUGCAUAGCCGACCUGAGAGGGUAAUCGGCCACACUGGGACUGAGACACGGCCCAGACUCCUACGGGAGGCAGCAGUAGGGAAUCUUCCACAAUGGACGAAAGUCUGAUGGAGCAACGCCGCGUGAGUGAAGAAGGUUUUCGGAUCGUAAAACUCUGUUGUUGGAGAAGAAUGUAUCUGAUAGUAACUGAUCAGGUAGUG